GGUCCUGUGGCGCAACGGUAGCCCAUAUGACUCCAGAUCAGAAGGUUGUCCGUUCUAAUCGGGCCAGGGUCA
rnacentral:tRNA from 1 species